ACAGGAAGAGUCAGAUUGCAGGUGAACUCUGGGUUUCUGCUGUCCCUGGAGGACUGGCCCACAGUACCUCAGAGGAUUGUGUGUGGCUUCAACACGAGCAAAACACAUCUGCUUCUCCCUCUGGCUGUGCUCUGGAAUUUCUGCCUAGUCCAUGGAAAAGCAGGGUGGCUAUUCCCACUACUCACAAAAGGUCUUUCUCAUGCCUUUUUAAAAUCAGGACGCUGGGAUGAUCUCCAGGACACAUCUAUGAUCUCAGUGGUCGGCCCUGCAGCACAUGGCCUACUCAGCUUGUUCCACGCUGUGCAUUCACACAGCGAGUGAAUGCUCUCUGGGCGCCUGUGGAACUUCUCCCCUACCUUGAGCCCUGAGGAUCUGCAUAAGAAGUGUUCUCAUCUUCCUGUGAGGACACUCAGUCAAGGCUGAGCUUAAGACUCAGAUGGAGCCACUGUCAAAAUGAAGAGUUCUUAGUCAACAAGAGCCUGAGACCUGGCACUUGGGAUUUUGAAUAUUGCUGCUCAGAGCUUGGUCCAGCUACAAGGCUUAAAGUACAUGGUGACGAGAACAGGUAGGGGAUCCUCACGUGGAGGAGCCUCUGACAGAGGCUCACAAUCACACAGUCCAGUUUCUCUGACAGGAAUUUGAAGAAAACUGACACACAAGACUUGUGGUUGGCCCUUGGUUCCAGCAGCUGAGACUGAUCAAAGACCCCAGUGUUUGCCGUUGACCCUGGCCCUCGCCCUCUUGGAUUUGCUAAGAGAUACAAUCAGGUGUGUAAAACCCUCCUGCGAGGCCAGUGGGUUGGUUGUGAUUUGCAUAAAAUUCCACCAGCUAAGAUCCAAGAGCUGCCUUAUUUAAAUUGUCUUCAGUUUGAAGUUCUAGAAGCAUCUUUCUACCUUUUCAGCCAUUUCCUCUCUUUCCAGCCAUUCCAGCCUGCUCAUCCUGUGACCAGUUAGGAGCCAGUGACCCCAUUCAGUGAACCAAUUGCUUGUUGAUGAAUUUGAAACAAAUCAAUAUUUUGUAAUAUUAAGAAUGCUGACCCAAGCACUAUGCUAAGAAUUUUAUAAACAUGGUUUUAAUUAAUCCUUAGACUAAUUAACUUGAUAGAAAUGUUAGUAUCUGCAUUUUAUAGAAGAGGAAAAAAAAAAAGAUGCUUGAAGAAGCUAGUGACCUUGCCUACAAUCAUACAUCAGCAGGGAGAGGUGAAAUCUACACAUCGUACCUACUUGCUCUAGAAUUUGUGCUGUGACCCAAUGAACCAGGUUAGUGACUCCCAAACCCUAGGUGCAGCCUAGCAGCAGUAUUUGCCUUUUGGCUUCAACUGCAAUUCUGUAAAUUUUCCCCUCAAGCCCUGUCAGUGCCAGAGCCUCCUAGAUGACUGUAGAUAAAUCUAUUCUACACUCAGUAACUCAGCCACUCUGAGAGUUCAGCCAUGACUAAACAAGGUCCGCCUUCUAGAACUACAGGAAACAAAAAGGCCCUUCUCUGAUCCAUGUGUUGGCAAAUAAAAUACAUUUUCCUUAUUGAAUUUGCACGUGAACAAGGAAUACACUUUUAUAAGUAUGUCACAUGUAAAAUUCAGGCUAUUCUUGUCUUUAAAAAGUAGUCACUGUUUAUCUAAAAAGC